UUCACUUCUCCCUCCAGAGCUUUGGGCACUCAGCUAUGGCAGAUUGAUACUCCAAGAAAUCCAACAGAUUGAUACUCCAAUAAAUCCAUCUCUCUUUGGUCGAGAUCAUAUUGACGGAAUGAGUAAUCACACAUCAUCUUCUAACCAAGCAUCAAAAAGGUCGAGCCGAGCAACACCUCAGAGCCGAAGGUCACGGACACUAGAAGAAGAACGCACUCUUCUUGAUGGUUUAAAGGAUUUGUUUUUAAGGGUUGGAAAGCGGAUAAUGGCACCUUUAGGCCCGGAUACACGACGGAAUUGGAGCUUUAUUUAAACAAAAUCCAUCCUAACUGUGGAUUGAAAUCUCAACCACAUAUUAAUUCUAAAAUGAAAAGAAGAGGGAUUACAGGACUAUAGCUUUAUUAAAAAGUCGUAGUGGUUUGGGCUUUCAAUAUGGUGAAGGAAGAAUUAUAGUUGAGGAUCCAAGCAAAUGGGAUGAGUUUGUUAAGGCUGAUCCAAAUGCCAAAGGAAUGCAAAACAAGACAUGGCCAUUGUUCGAGGAUUGGGAAGAAAUAUUUGGAAAAGAUAGAGCAACAGGAGAGUUUGUAGAAGGGCCGGAAAUGCUGUUGAGGAAAUUGUUAGGAGCCAAGGUCAAGGAGUUUCUAAUGACAGAAGAUUAGGAUUUCUUAUUGAGUUGAUGAUGAAGAUGAUGAAGAAGAUGCUAGACAUGAACUUGAUGUAGCCCCUGGAGAAGCGGAAAAUGCUGAUGGACCUAGUAGAGCUUCUCAAAGUGCAGAUAGAGCUUCUGAAAGUGUACAUCCCGAACACCAACAAAACCAACAACAAGGUAAAAAUACUAGAAGCUCCUCUUCUAAUGUCAAUGAUAAGGAGAAAAGCAAAAAAGAAAAAGAACAAUUGAAGAUGUUAACGAGAUAGCUUUAAAGGAUUUAGUUGAUGUUAUGAAGGAAUUUACGACAAAUCACGACAAAACAAUGGGUGCUUUAAUUGACAUGUUUGGGGAGCGUGAUGAAUCUGAAAUUCGUGGAAUGUUUUUAGAUAUCCUUUCAUCCCCUGCUUAUCAAGAGUUGUAUAGUCCAGAUCAACAAAUCAAAGCAUCAGUAGGACUUACUUCUGAUGUUAGAAAAAUGGAUUUGUUCUUACGAAUGGGUGAACUUCAACGUCAAAAUAUAGUGUGGAUGAUUGUCAAUGACAUGUUUCCAAGUAUAUGAAUAUGAUUUUAAGGGUUGGCCAUGGGUUGAUAGUUUUUGCUAAAUUGACGACCUUCAAAAGGGUUAAUGAUUGUAUCUGUUUUUGAAGCCUCAACUCUAUAAACUUGAUAUGGGGUCAGGAAGAGCAUGAGGAUGCAAAUGUCAAUGUUAUAUGUGUGGAUGGUUGUCAAUGAUAGGUUUCCAAGUAUAUAAUAUGAUUGUACGGGCUGGCCAUGGGUUGAUAGUUUUUGCUAAAUUGACGAUCUUCAAAAGGUUUAAUGGUUGUAUUAUAUUUUGAUGCCUCAGCUCUAUAAACUUGAUAUGUGACGGAGAAGAGCUUGAGGAUGCAAAUGUAAAUAUUAUAUAUGAAUGCUAAUCAUGUAUUUUGAA